rnacentral:misc_RNA from 1 species
GCAAAUGAAUGUGGAGGCUUACCUAUUGCCAUUGUAAACAUUGCAAAGGCAUUAAAAAACAAAAGGAGAAACAUUUGGGAUGAUGCGCUUGGACAGCUAAAGAAUUCUAACCUACAAGACAUAUCAGGAGAUGUGUUUUCCAAAAUUGAAUUAAGUUACAAGUUCUUGGAACAUGAAGAGGCCAAGUUGUGUUUUUUGCUUUGUAGCCUGUUCCCUGAAGAUUUCAAUAUUCGGGUUGAAGAUUUGGUUAGAUAUGG